GCCCCGGUGGAGUCUUGCUCUCACCUGGCCUCCGGAGCCGUGUGCGCAGGUUCGAAUCCUGCCGGGGGCA
rnacentral:tRNA from 1 species